rnacentral:rRNA from 1 species
GUAAACCUGAGAAACCCAAAAGAUCGAAUGGGGAGAUUCAUCGUCAGCUCAUUUUGUAUAUAUAUGAGUUAUGAUAUGGGUUACUACUUGUAGUAUUGCCUGUACAUUCUUGUAUAUUUUAUUGCAAGAUGUUGUCGGCGUGCACUUCUCCCCUAGUAGGACGUCGCGACCCGUUGAGUGUCGGUCUAUGGCCCGAGUGGUAGCCUUUAAUUCUUGUAAUUAAAGACCCUUGGUGUUUCCCGACUGGCUACUCGGCGGUAUUCGUACGGUAUUAAGCCGCAUUUAUGCGUUCAUAUCCGUCGCAAGCGCGGUCAAUUUUUGGUAGUACGGACCUAGUGCCGUCGCUAUAAUUGAUCAGCUGUUGGUUGUACGGUAUUCUAGAACAGGCUUAACAUUAAUAUACCGGUCUGCGAUGCUACUGCUUUGGGUACUUUCAGGACCCGUCUUGAAACACGGACCAAGUUG